UGGUGCAAGACAUUGUGUAUCCUAAAUAAUGAGGAUCAGUAUUCCAAAAAUUGUUGUUCUUAAUUUCUUAACUCCGACUCCUGUGAUGAACAUGUACGUAAAAACCUAGGGAAAUUACGAUUAUAUAGAAACUAAAAUAGGUGGAAAUUUUAUGGGACACGAUAAAAGGCGAGGAUAAGGAGCGAGAGAUUAAAGUUGAGGAGGAAGGCAACCCUGUCCGCGUUUCGACCUAAAGAUGGUGUAACAUUUCCACUGUCCGACACCGUAUUCUGUUCACUAUUUUCCCUGAGCUGUGACAGUGAAUUUAAUUCAUCAACAUCAAUGAACGUUGUCAUUGGUUCCGUUUGGUCUUCACUCAUGGGUUCCUUCACGUUUUUCUGAGAUAGAUCUUCAUCAAAAGACACUGUGACUGCAGAAUCUUUACCACCAUAGUUAGUAAAGGUUAGGUUAGGCCAUACUGCAGGUCAUUGUCCUUGGUUGUCAUGUUACUUUUUACAAAGAAAGUACUGAUUUUCGACAGGGAUGAAUCCGAUGAUUCCAUCACUGGAUGACAUUUUACUUUUUUACCUUUGUGAACCAAUCGAGAAUGCACCUCUUUAUAAUCACUGUCGAUUUCCUUAUUGCAUUGCUCGCACCAUGGAUAAUAAAAUAAAUGGAUAGGAAACUAGCUGACG